rfam:Kushneria marisflavi strain SW32, complete genome.
GUUCGCUGCCGCAUAGGCAGCUCAGAAA